rnacentral:rRNA from 1 species
UACGGAGGGAGCUAGCGUUGUUCGGAAUUACUGGGCGUAAAGCGCACGUAGGCGGCUUUCUAAGUCAGGGGUGAAAUCCUGGAGCUCAACUCCAGAACUGCCUUUGAUACUGGAGAGCUCGAGUCCGGAAGAGGUGAGUGGAACUCCGAGUGUAGAGGUGAAAUUCGUAGAUAUUCGGAAGAACACCAGUGGCGAAGGCGGCUCACUGGUCCGGUACUGACGCUGAGGUGCGAAAGCGUGGGGGAGCAAACAGG